rnacentral:lncRNA from 1 species
AAAAGUUAUCGUCGUUUGAAUUUUCUCAGAGCUUCUGUAUUCAAUUUCGAACAUCUGUAUAUAUUACGGGACUCAAUCAGACAUCUGAGUUAAAAGUUAUUGUCGUUUGAAUUACCUCACAGCUUCUGUAUUUAAUUUCGAGCGUCUCGAUAUAUUACGUGACUCAAUCGGACAUCCGAGUAAAAAUUUAUUGACGUUAG